GCUUUUGGUGGUUCACAAGGGGACCUUAAAGAUGACAAGAAGAGUGAAAGAAAGCAGAUGGAAUUAAUGUACUAGUAAUCAAAACUGGACUCAUAAUUGUCCUCGUGCCAUGAAACCACAUGGCCAUGGCCAAGACACUAAUUCGACACUGAACACCCAGAUCCUGAUUCCAGAAAACUGAAUCCAAGCCCAUGAGCUUCCUACAGCCUAGAAGGUCUGCUGAUGAACAGUGAGCUGCAGCUUAACUGGGAAGCUAACUGCCGUGUUUUGAGCCACCCUAUGGAGAGGUCAACAUGACAAGGAACUGAGAGAGAAAGAGGAAAAUGAGGCCCUCAGUACAGUGAAAACUAGAAUCCUACCAACAACCA